GACGGAGGAUGCAAGCGUUAUCCGGAAUGAUUGGGCGUAAAGCGUCCGCAGGUGGCAGUUCAAGUCUGCUGUCAAAGACCGGGGCUUAACUUCGGAAAGGCAGUGGAAACUGAACAGCUAGAGUAUGGUAGGGGCAGAGGGAAUUCCCGGUGUAGUGGUGAAAUGCGUAGAUAUCGGGAGGAAUACCAGUGGCGAAGGCGGCUGCCUGGCCUGUUCUUGACGCUGAGGCGCGAAAGCUGGGGGAGCAAACGGG
rnacentral:rRNA from 1 species